rnacentral:rRNA from 1 species
GACGAACGCUGGCGGCGUGCCUAAUACAUGCAAGUAGAACGCUGAAGGAGGAGCUUGCUUCUCUGGAUGAGUUGCGAACGGGUGAGUAACGCGUAGGUAACCUGCCUGGUAGCGGGGGAUAACUAUUGGAAACGAUAGCUAAUACCGCAUAAGAGUAGAUGUUGCAUGACAUUUGCUUAAAAGGUGCAAUUGCAUCACUACCAGAUGGACCUGCGUUGUAUUAGCUAGUUGGUGAGGUAACGGCUCACCAAGGCAACGAUACAUAGCCGACCUGAGAGGGUGAUCGGCCACACUGGGACUGAGACACGGCCCAGACUCCUACGGGAGGCAGCAGUAGGGAAUCUUCGGCAAUAGACGGAAGUCUGACCGAGCAACGCCGCGUGAGUGAAGAAGGUUGUCGGAUCGUAAAGCUCUGUUGUAAGAGAAGAACGAGUGUGAGAGUGGAAAGUUCACACUGUGACGGUAUCUUACCAGAAAGGGACGGCUAACUACGUG